rnacentral:rRNA from 1 species
GACGAACGCUGGCGGCGUGCCUAAUACAUGCAAGUCGAGCGGACUUAAAAAGCUUGCUUUUUAAGUUAGCGGCGGACGGGUGAGUAACACGUGGGCAACCUGCCUGUAAGACUGGGAUAACUUCGGGAAACCGGAGCUAAUACCGGAUAAUCCUUUUCUACUCAUGUAGAAAAGCUGAAAGACGGUUUACGCUGUCACUUACAGAUGGGCCCGCGGCGCAUUAGCUAGUUGGUGAGGUAACGGCUCACCAAGGCGACGAUGCGUAGCCGACCUGAGAGGGUGCUCGGCCACACUGGGACUGAGACACGGCCCAGACUCCUACGGGAGGCAGCAGUAGGGAAUCUUCCGCAAUGGACGAAAGUCUGACGGAGCAACGCCGCGUGAGUGAUGAAGGUUUUCGGAUCGUAAAACUCUGUUGUUAGGGAAGAACAAGUACGAGAGUAACUGCUCGUACCUUGACGGUACCUAACCAGAAAGCCACGGCUAACUACGUG